rnacentral:rRNA from 1 species
UACCAGCACCCCGAGUGGUCGGGACGAUUAUUGGGCCUAAAGCAUCCGUAGCCGGCUCUACAAGUCUUCCGUUAAAUCCACCUGCUCAACAGAUGGGCUGCGGAGGAUACUAUAGAGCUAGGAGGCGGGAGAGGCAAGCGGUACUUAGUGGGUAGGGGUAAAAUCCGUUGAUCCAUUGAAGACCACCAGUGGCGAAGGCGGCUUGCCAGAACGCACUCGACGGUGAGGGAUGAAAGCUGGGGGAGCAAACCGG